rnacentral:lncRNA from 12 species
CUUCAUGUUUCUUAUCUUUUGCAGGUGGUGGGCUGCCCUCCCCGACCCCAAAGAAAGGACACUGAUGGGGAAUGCAGGAUCCACUUUUUUUAUUGCAGGAAGACUAUUUCUAGAGCAAAUGCUACACAGACCCCACAAUGGGGGGCAGGGGGCACCCACAUGCGGGGGAGGAGGGGCAGGGGUGGAAUCACAGCAAGCAUGGCCUGGCAUGGUCCCCAGAACCAGGGAUGCCCAGGCAGGAUGGGCCAGAGACUGGGGCAGGCUCAGGCCCCUCCUGCUGCAGAAGCCCUUUCUCCCCAGGGGACCAGGGCCUGGGGCCAGGAAAGGCCUGGAGGUGGGCGGGGCCCCAGGGAGAUUGUGCUAUCAGGGUGUGUCCCUGAGAAAGGGCUGCAGACCCCUGCCCAGCAGGAUACAGGGGCUCAGUUGUGCUCAGGCAGGAUGCCACCAGCUCUUCCAUGCCCGUCCAUGUGCCAGGCGGUGACACACACACUUGCACACACACAUUCCCUCCCUCUCUACAUAGUGUGCCCAGUAAACAUUUGUGGAGUCCCACGAACACAGAGAAGACCAAACACACUGCUACCGAGAUGGACACAAGCAGCCCCUCUCACCUAUAAACAGUCCCCAUGUGGUCACAUGACUGUACCACGACAUGGCCUUUCUCACAUGCACACACGCAUACACACACACAUAGAGGUCAGUCCCGAUGCGCCCAAGGACGUGCAAGCAUGCACACACAGCUUUGUCAUGCCCCAGGACACCCAAUGCUGUGAGCAACCCCAGGGAGACACGCACGCGGCAAGGAGCCGAGGGUAGCUCCCGCUGACUUCCAGUGGGCAACGGAGCCACUUGGGCCUGAAACUGCAGAAACUGGAUGCCGCUGAUAGCUGUGUGAGCUCGGGAGCAGAUCCGUCCCCUGUCAGGUCUUCUGAUGAGACUGCAGCCAGCAGGCUCUGAUCGCAGCCCCGUGAGAUCCUGAGUGGAAGUCUUGGGGAAGCCAUGCCCGGACUCCUGACCCACAGGAACGGAGAUGACAAAAGUGUCCAGUUUCCGUUGGCUGACUUUGUGGUCAUUUGUUAGGCACCCAGAGAUGAUCGAUACAGAGUCUGAGCCAAGAGCCACCUCACUACAAAGCCAAAUGGGCUUCCUCAGGCAGCAGAACGAACAGGUUUACAGAUGCGGUCCUAUAAAUCACGUCCCCCACUCCCCAAAAUACAACCACUUACAAUCACACUUAUGCUGGUACAAAGGUUCCCAGAGACACAAAUAACCAUUCCUGAGGACAACCACACUGCCCACCCCUACACAUAGCCUACACCGUUAUUACACAGAGACCGUGACACAGACUUACCAUCCAAAUGACAGCCACACACACACAAGUGCACGCAUAGACACAUGCUGAGACACAAGCGAUCUGCCUGUGUGCUCCAGGUUGUACAAACCCACCACCCCCUGGUCACCCCCACCCCAGGCCUACGGCUCACCUUCAUGCUUGUCACACAGCCCCUUCCCCCUCCAUGAGUAUAGAGUUAUGUGGCCACUCUCGGAAUCUCAUGGUGGCUGAUAUCCCCUGACUCCAGGACACACGUCUUGCUGGGCAGAGCCCCCCAACUCUGGGGCACAGUUGGCAGGAGGCAGUGGGCUGGGCAGAGCUCUGCAUGGAUUCCCCUCAGAUCCUGCUGGUGCUGGGUCCAGUCGCCUGCCCCUGGAUGGGGCCCCGGGUGCCCCCCCCAGCACCCCACGUGCCCCUGCCUGAGGCUCAGUGGUAGCAGGCUGUGCCAGUGUCUGCAGGCCGGGUCUGGGAAGGCCCUCCAUA